AUACGGAGGAUGCAAGCGUUAUCCGGAUUUAUUGGGUUUAAAGGGUGCGUAGGCGGUUUGCUAAGCGGGAGGUGAAAUGCCGGCGCUCAACGUCGGAAGUGCCUCCCGAACAGGUGGACUUGAAUGACUCUGCCGUGGGAGGAAUGUGUAGUGUAGCGGUGAAAUGCUUAGAGAUUACACAGAACACCGAUUGCGAAGGCAUCUCACGAAGGGUUGAUUGACGCUGAGGCACGAAAGCGUGGGGAUCAAACAGGAUUAGAUACCCUGGUAGUCCACGCAGUAAACGAUGAUGGCUAACCGCUGGGCUUAUCAGUUCAGUGGCCAAGCGAAAGCGAUAAGCCAUCCACCUGGGGAGUACGACCGCAAGGUUGAAACUCAAAUGAAUUGACGGGG
rnacentral:rRNA from 1 species